rnacentral:rRNA from 1 species
GGAGGGCGCAAGCGUUGUUCGGAAUCAUUGGGCGUAAAGCGGGUGUAGGCGGUUUGGCAAGUCGGAUGUGAAAUCCCAGGGCCCAACCCUGGAACUGCAUUCGAAGCUGCCUCGCUAGAGUCCCGGAGAGGAUGGCGGAAUUCCCGGUGUAGAGGUGAAAUUCGUAGAUAUCGGGAGGAACACCAGCGGCGAAGGCGGCCAUCUGGACGGUGACUGACGCUCAGACCCGAAAGCGUGGGUAGCGAACAGGAUUAGAUACCCUGGUAGUCCACGCUGUAAACGUUGGGUGCUCGACGUCGCGGGUAUUGACCCCCUGCGGUGUCCCAAGCUAACGCGAGAAGCACCCCGCCUGGGGGAGUACGGCCGCAAGGCUA